rfam:Triticum aestivum genome assembly, contig: Triticum_aestivum_CS42_TGACv1_scaffold_526382_6DL
GUAAUACUCCCUCGUCCGGAAAUACUUGUCGGAGAAAUGGAUAAAAUAGUUGUUUCUAGAACUUAAACACGUCUAAAUACAUUCAUCUCUGCGACAAGUAUUUUCGGACGGAGGGAGUAAUCU